UGCCUCCUGGUUGUGAUGGUACCUGGAUCCACACCACAGAGGCACAGGGGGUCAUAAAGGCCAUUGUCCUGAGCUCCAGAGGAUAAAGCAGAAGUGAAGAACAGAAAGAGGGCUUCUCAGGCUCCUUGAUGAAAACUGAAGCCCACUGGAAAAGUGAAGAGAAUCUCUGCAAUAAAGGCACAUCAGACCACUGUGGUUGUGCCUUCACCAUGGAAAGAACUAGUACAGAAUCCUGCCUUCUACCUUCAGUACCUCCUGCCUUGCCAUAGUCUGAACACUGGAGGAACUGCUGCACCCAACUAGCUCUCAGGGGAUGCCAGAAUAUGCGUGAAGAAUGCUCCACAAGCUAGAAUUAAAAAUCAUUUAUUUAAAAAUUGAAUUCUAUGUUAAAAGACAUAAAAUUGUUUUAAACUCUGAAAAUUAGCAGUGGGUAAAAAACCAAAACCAAAACCAAAAAAACAGACCAUAUUAGAUAAGGUUUAAUCAGCUGGAACUUGUUUUGCUCUAAGCCAAGGGCCAGUG
rnacentral:lncRNA from 1 species